rnacentral:rRNA from 1 species
UCGCAUGGCGCGCUGACGAAAGGGUUACUGGAUCAGGAGGGUCUCGCGGCCUAUCAGCUUGUUGGUGGGGUAACGGCCUACCAAGGCAUCGACGGGUAGCUGGUCUGAGAGGAUGAUCAGCCACACUGGGACUGAGACACGGCCCAGACUCCUACGGGAGGCAGCAGUGGGGAAUCUUGCGCAAUGGGCGAAAGCCUGACGCAGCAACGCCGCGUGCGGGAAGAAGGCCUUCGGGUUGUAAACCGCUUUCAGAAGGAACGAAACUGACGGUACUUUCAGAAGAAGGUGCGGCCAACUACGUGCCAGCAGCCGCGGUGACACGUAGGCACCAAGCGUUGUCCGGAUUUAUUGGGCGUAAAGAGCUCGUAGGCGGUUCGGUAAGUCGGGUGUGAAAACUUUGGGCUCAACCCAAAGCGUGCAUUCGAUACUGCCGUGACUAGAGUUCGGUAGGGGAGUGGGGAAUUCCUAGUGUAGCGGUGAAAUGCGCAGAUAUUAGGAGGAACACCGGUGGCGAAG